GGUGGUAUAGUAUAGUGGAUAGUACAACACGUUGUGGUUAGUCACACUUACUUGUACCGUGUAGACCUGGGUUCGAUUCCCAGUACCGCCA